rnacentral:rRNA from 1 species
UGUGCCAGCAGCCGCGGUAAUACGUAAGGUCCGAGCGUUGUCCGGAAUCAUUGGGCGUAAAGGGUACGUAGGCGGGUAAGCAAGUUAGAAGUGAAAUCCUAUAGCUCAACUAUAGUAAGCUUUUAAAACUGUUUAUCUUGAGGUAUGGAAGGGAAAGUGGAAUUCCUAGUGUAGCGGUGAAAUGCGCAGAUAUUAGGAGGAUACCGGUGGCGAAGGCGACUUUCUGGCCAUAACCUGACGCUGAGGUACGAAAGCGUGGGUACAAACAGGAUUAGAUA